UGGAUUUAUCUACAGAAAGGUGCAGCUGGUCUUAGAGAGAGACCUCACACUCAAAUGCCUGAAUAAAUGGAAGGACGAGGUCCUCAAGGGAGACCCACCGAGACGCAUCCUUCAGCUCUUCUAAGGGUAGUAGAGGUGGACAGUGAGGCAGGUGGCAUCCGUGUCCUGCUUGGGGUCGAGUCCAGCGGCUGCGUCGAGAUCGGGUGGAACGCCAUUAAGAUGUGCUGCGGGGCCGGAGAUGGGAUCCAUGUCUGUCAGCAGAAU